GGAGAGGUGCCAGAGUGGCCGAUUGGGGCGGUCUCGAAAACCGUUGUACGUUUGCGCGUACCGUGGGUUCGAAUCCCACCCUCUCCGCCA
rnacentral:tRNA from 1 species